ensembl:snRNA U6 U6 spliceosomal RNA
GUGCUUAAUCCGACAGCCCAUACAUUAAUAUCAGAAUGAUACAGAGAAGAUUAGCAUGGCCCCUGCACAUGGAUGACUCGCAAAUUCGUGAAGCAAUCCAUAUUGUU